rnacentral:lncRNA from 1 species
GUCUUUAUGCAUAUCUAAAUUGUAAUCUACAGUCUUUAUAAACUAUAGGCUCAAAAGAGCCUGUGUCGCUCACCUUGGUCUAUGUGCAUAUCAUAAACGAAAUAAAAAUUACUAAAUUUACAAAUUUAUGAAAAUUGUUAAAAAUUGAUAAUAAAAGGGAAAUACUCCUUAAGGGGUUAAUUGACCAUUUUGAUCAUGUUGACUUUUGAGCAAUUCACUAUGCUGUUGAAUAUUAAUCUCUCAAAAAAACAUAUUUGAAGAAAUUUUC